UGAGUAGAGCCGUGGUUGGUGACAGC
rnacentral:piRNA from 1 species